UGGGGAAUAUUGCGCAAUGGGCGAAAGCCUGACGCAGCGACGCCGCGUGAGGGAUGAAGGUUUUCGGAUCGUAAACCUCUGUCAGAAGGGAAGAAACUGCACUGUGCUAAUCAGCAGUGCCUUGACGGUACCUUCAAAGGAAGCACCGGCUAACUCCGUGCCAGCAGCCGCGGUAAUACGGAGGGUGCAAGCGUUAAUCGGAAUUACUGGGCGUAAAGCGCACGUAGGCUGCUUUGUAAGUCAGGGGUGAAAUCCCACGGCUCAACCGUGGAACUGGCGUUGAUACGGCUUAGCUGGAAUCCGGGGGAGGGUGGCGGAAUUCCAGGUGUAGGAGUGAAAGCCGUGGAUAUCUGGAGGAACAUGAGUGGCGAAGGCGGCCACCUGGACCGGUAUUGACGCUGAGGUGCGAAAGCGUGGGGAGCAAACAGG
rnacentral:rRNA from 1 species